CAUUCUUAAUUUUACCAUGCCUAAAAAUAGUAAAAUUGAGCAUGUUAUCAAUGGUGACUACUAUGUUUUCCUCGUAGUUACCAUGUUUUGACAACCAAGCGAAUAGUAGCAAAUACCAUCAAAUAUGGUUAUCUUGAUUACGCUAUUCGUGAUUGUCUGAACCAUGUUCAUAUUUGCCUACUACUAUUUUUAUGUUUAACUAUACUAUAUCAAUAAGAUCUCCUUUUUUCAGAAAAAUCGGCAAACACCGCCAUUUUGCAAUAAAGUGUUUGCCACGUUUCCUGCUUCAUAAGAAAUUAUUUGUUAUGGAGAAUUGUUCUUUUAUAAAAAUGGUGGUAAGUUUUCAACAGACUUUUUUUUAACUAUUCUUUAAACCAACAAUGUCAAUCUAUCUUGACCCGCAGUAAUUCAACCAAUUUUCUUCUGCCGGAAGAAAAUCCCAAGGAAAAUCCUACACCAUCCUCACCACCUCUGUUUUUCUAAGGCGAAUAUCGAAGUUACGGAAGUUGGCAGGUUCCAAGGAAAGAAUGUCGAGAAAGAUCAGAGAAAGAGGGGAAAAGCGAGUUCUCAGGUUACAAAAUCAUUUGAUACCGAUGGAGCUUCCAGAUUAAAGAGCAACCCGAGUCACCUACGAAAAUGAAUGCAUUGCCAGCAGAAAUCUCCCCUCCGCGGACGACCCUCCAUCCGAAGAAGGACGUCGGAGCUUUUUCCUAAUUCCGUCUCCUUUAAUUCCAUCGCCGUUGUUUAAUCAGGAUACGCCUGUAACCUCCAAACCGAACCGAUUCUCUCGCAACAACUUCGUCCGGAACCACAUCAAGCCGCGUUCAGCAGCUUCCCGGACGUCACAUCAUAGCGGGACCCAAAGAACAUCAAUCGAACCAUCCAUGCCGUUCCGAAAAAAAUCGAAUAUUCGCAAGAAGGGAACCAAACAGGAUGCUUGACUCUCACGGAGGACAUCCAUCUUAUAGGAAUAUACUUAUGUAGCAUUAAUUAUGUAAUUAUACUUUAUACAAUACAAUAAAUUUUAUCGAUUUUACUUUU